AGCACUGGGCAGGACUUGGCAGACGGAAGGCACUUCCCUCGCCUCCUGAGACACCCAUGAGAGCUUCCACCUGAAAAACACAUCCAUUCCUGACACAAUGGCUGCGUGAUGCUCCCUGAGGUCAGUGUGGGCGCCAGCCUGGAGGAAAAAGUGAGGUGAUGGGUCUGACCCCAGUGCCUUUGCUCGGUACGGCAAGGCUCUGACGUUUCCCAGCCUGGAUGUGGGAAGAAGGCCUGGUGCGGCUGGGGGCCGAAGGUCCUGAGGGUCGGGACGGAGCCACUCUGAGCAUGGACUUCAAAACAGGAAAUCUGCAGGUUUGUCCUGGAAGCCUAUUGGCCCCUGGCCGAGGGGCCAGAAUUUCCACCCUCCCCACGAGCAGAAGCCCUGAAUCUGAAACAUCAGAACAGAAGGCAGUAAGGAAAGGGCUGGUGCAGCGGGGCCACUGGCACAUCUGUUCCCCUCGGCUCUAUUAACACCUGCUGUUCUUCAGUCUGAGCCCCUCACCUCCCCAGAAGACAAGAAGGGGUCGGAGUCCCCGGUUACGCAUGCCCAUUGGACCGUGAAGGAUUGUGGUGCCUGUUCAAACAUCAAACCAAGAGGGAGCUGCAGGACAAGGAGGAAACAGGAAACACGUCUGAAGACACUCAGAGGCACCUACUGAAGCCGGAAGCAGGUGCACUUUGCAAAGUGGAGAAGGAGAGACCUCAGGGGCACCUGGGGGGCCAGGCUGACAGGAGACAAGGACCCCAGGGAGCCAGGGCGCCAGGGCUCAGCAGGUGGGCUGUGGACUGGCCACGCCCAUGAGGGGAGCGGGGGGGUCAGGGGGGACCUCUAGACCGCCUGGCCCCCUCUCCCCCCAAAGGAGACCCGGGUGACUCUGGAGAGGCUGAAGGGUGACCCAUGUGGGGAGGUGAGGCCCGGCCACUUUCCCUGCCCCUUCCUGGAGUGUUCCCUCCUGCAGGAGGCCGGACAAUCCCCCCUGAGGAAGCUGCCAAGCUAGGAGGCAGGAGCAAUGGAUGCUGACCUCUGGGGCUCCCCUAGCGAGGCUAUGGGGCCACGGCGGGGGGCGGGGGGUCACCCUACUUGAGCCACAUCUGUAGAGCCAGACUCUGCCUUCUUGCCGGAGCCUCCAGCCAGUGUUUUAAUGUUCUCCUUUUAAGGAGUCACAUGUGGUCCAGGGUCAGCUGACUUUCCCAGAGAUCCUCUGUGAUAUUGUGAUUUAUAAUAAGAAAUAUAUAUUUAGGAGUUCCCACUGUGGCUCAGCAGGUUAAGAGCCUGACUAGGAGGAUGCAGCUUCAAUCCCUGGCCUCACUCAGGGAGGAUCCAGCAUUGCCAUGAGCUGUGGUGUAAGUUCCAGACGUGGUUCAGAUCCCAUGUUGCUGUGGCUAUGGUGUAGGCUGGAGGUUGCAGCUCCAAUUCAGGUCUCCUAGCCUGGAAACUUCCAUAUGCUGCGGGUGCAGCCCUAAAUAAAUAAAUAAAUAAAUAAAUAAAUAAAUAAUAUAUUAUAUUAUAUCUAUAUAGGUCUUUGGGAAUUCCCAUUGUGGCUAAGCGGUUAACGAAUCCGACUAACAUCCAUGAGGCUGUGGGUUCGAUCCUUGGCCUCGACCAGUGGGUUAAGGAUCCAGCGUUGCUGUGAGCUGUGGUGUGGGUCGCAGACGUGGCUCAGAUCCUGCAUUGCCGUGGCUCUGGCGUAGGCCGGUGGCCACAGCUCCGAUUCGACCCCCAGCCUGGGAACCUCCAUAUGCCAUGGGUGUGGCCCUAAAAAAAUAUAUACGUAUAUAUGUCUUCAUCCUGUUUAUGGCACAGAGCUCCUAAAACCCUUGGAAUUUCUUAAGUGACAAGUGUGAUAGAUGUGUCUCUUGCUAUAAUAACAAAGUAAAUUUGGAAAAGCAUCUACAGAUGGGGGCUGUUCGCCAGGAGACUCAGCCUUGCAACUGAGUGGUUAGCGGGUUGGAACUCUCGGUCCCCGUGUCCCCCAAACGGCUCAACCUCUGGGAAUGGGAGAGGGGUUAGAGGCUGAAUCUGUCUCUAGUGGCCAAUGAUCUAAUCAAUCAUGUCUGUAUAGUGAAGCCUCUACCAAGGCCGCCAAGGACAGGGUUUGGAGGCCUUCCAGGCUGGUGAACGAGGGGAGACCCGGGGAGAAUGGUGCUCUGGGAGAGGCACGCAAGCUCCGUGUCCGUCCCCAUACCCGGGCCCGUGCGUCUCUUUCAUCUGGAAGUUCCAGAGUUAUAUCCAGUAAUAAUAAGUCAGGGAUCUAUUUAAUUAAUUAAGUAGUUAAUUACUUUUUUUUGUCUUUCUAGGGCUGCAUCCACAACCUAUGGAAGUUCCCAGCCUAGGAGUUGAAUUGGAGCUGCAGCUGCCGACCUACGCCACAGCCACGGCAAUGCGCCAGAUCCGAGCCGCAUCUGCGACUGUGUCCACUGCAGGUGGCACUGCCACAACGGGAGCUCCAUCCAGUAAUUUAUUAAGUAAAUGGGUUUCCUAAGUUCUGGGAGCCGCUCUAGCAAGUUGAUGUCAAACCCAAGGAA